ensembl:snoRNA
AUCCUUUCAUAGUUUAUAAGAUUGAUGAUCAGGUCUUCAUGCUCAUGUGUGAAAUAUGCCUCCCUCAAACCACGUUAGGACUUUGGCAUAUUGCCCGUCUGAAA